GACGAACGCUGGCGGCGUGCCUAAUACAUGCAAGUAGAACGCUGAAGAGAGGAGCUUACUCUUCUUGGAUGAGUUGCGAACGGGUGAGUAACGCGUAGGUAACCUGCCUUGUAGCGGGGGAUAACUAUUGGAAACGAUAGCUAAUACCGCAUAACAAUGGAUGACACAUGUCAUUUAUUUGAAAGGGGCAAUUGCUCCACUACAAGAUGGACCUGCGUUGUAUUAGCUAGUAGGUGAGGUAAUGGCUCACCUAGGCGACGAUACAUAGCCGACCUGAGAGGGUGAUCGGCCACACUGGGACUGAGACACGGCCCAGACUCCUACGGGAGGCAGCAGUAGGGAAUCUUCGGCAAUGGGGGCAACCCUGACCGAGCAACGCCGCGUGAGUGAAGAAGGUUUUCGGAUCGUAAAGCUCUGUUGUAAGUCAAGAACGGGUGUGGGAGUGGAAAGUUCACACUGUGACGGUAGCUUACCAGAAAGGGACGGCUAACUACGUG
rnacentral:rRNA from 1 species